rnacentral:ncRNA from 2 species
CACAUGUAUGCUCAAGUCUGUUGUCGCCGCAGGAGAAUCCGGUGGAAAUCCGGAACUGUCCCGCAACGGUGUGCUGUGGUGCGCUAUGCGCGCCCGCGAGUCCGAGUACCUGCCGACGACGCAUCCGGUUC